UCUCCCGUCAGCGGGGCGGGCUCCGGGCAGGCCGCCCCAGGGAGCGGAGCGGCGCGCGAGCCCGCAGGAAGCGGCGGCGGGGCCGGAGGAAGCGCGGCCGGGGCUCCCCCUGCUCCCGGCGCUCCCCAUUGUUCCCCGGCCGCCUCUUUUCGCGCCGCUUUCCGCCGGCGGGGAGGAGGGAGAGCCCCGGGCCCCGCAUGCUGUGUGCUCGCAGGCAGUGGCGCGGGGGGACCCGCCGGGAAACCGGGCUCAUGAGUAGAGAGGAGCCUUUAGAAGUGCCAUCCACUGAGGGAGCUCCGUGAGGCUGUAGCUCACGUGUUACUUGAAAGUUGCAUCUGUUUAGCUGCAGCAUGUAUCUUUUUGCACAUAGGAAAAGAUCACAGCUUUCUCAACAAAGACCCAGUCUGAAAAUGGAGUAAAAAUUACUGUGAGAAGUUUGCUUUCUGGAAGGAAGUGAGUUUUCCUGCUCUACAGCUCCAAGUCCCAUUAUCAAUUUACGUUUUCUAAUAUAGUAUGCAUUUUAUAUCGAGUCUGUUAUUUUUUUUGAAGAUUCUUCUGGUGAUUAUAUUCAACUGGUAAUGUGGCUUUGUAAAUUAAAGACUUUUUCUUGUGCA